ACAUGUUUUCGGAGCUUCCUGUGAGAGGGAGUGAGAUCUAGAUCUAGUAAUCCACUCUCUCUCAUAGGCAGUUUCGAAAACAUGU
rnacentral:pre_miRNA from 1 species